rnacentral:snoRNA from 1 species
UUCCAUCGCUAAGUCAAGGCUUCUUCCUGCGACUCAUGUCGUGUUUUCUUUCAAUGGAGGUCUGUCUGUUACAGCUUUGGUAGAUCGACAACGUCCCGCACCAAACUUCUUUCUGAAGCAAGGUUGACUGGCCUUCGUCUUGAAGGUCAAUCGUAAGGGUCAUACGUGUUUUGUUUAAGAGUUGAGUUCUACUUCUGCCUAUUACUUGGUGGCUUGAUAGUUGAACUCUUAGUAACAUCCCACACAUUC